GAUCCUGCCUCAGAACGAACGCUGGCGGCGUACAUAACACAUGCAAGUCGAACGAGAAAUUCCGAUUCGUCGGGAGAGUAAAGUGGCGAACGGGUGAGUAAUACAAGGGUAAUCUGCCCUUAAAUUAGGGAUAACCUUGCGAAAGCGUUGCUAAUACCUGAUAAGACUACGACCUCUUAGGGUUGUAGGAAAAGAUGGCCUCUGAUUCAAGCUAUCGUUUAAGGAUGAGCCCUUGCACUAUUAGCUUGUUGGUGGGGUAACGGCCUACCAAGGCUACGAUGGUUAGCUGGUCUGAGAGGAUGACCAGCCACACUGGAACUGAGACACGGUCCAGACUCCUACGGGAGGCAGCAGUGAGGAAUAUUGCGCAAUGGGGGAAACCCUGACGCAGUGACGCCGCGUGAGUGAUGAAGGCUUUCGAGUCGUAAAGCUCUGUUAGGUGGAAAGAAACAUUCCAACGCUAAUAUCGUUGGGACUUGACGGUACCACCAGAGGAAGCACCGGCUAACUCCGUGCCAGCAGCCGCGGUAAUACGGAGGGUGCAAGCGUUGUUCGGAAUUACUGGGCGUAAAGGGCGUGUAGGCGGUUAGGCAAGUCAGGUGUGAAAUCCCUUGGCUCAACCAAGGAAGUGCGCUUGAAACUGCUUAACUAGAGUACAGGAGGGGAAAGUGGAAUUCCCAGUGUAGAGGUGAAAUUCAUAGAUAUUGGGAGGAACACCGGUAGCGAAGGCGGCUUUCUGGCCUGAUACUGACGCUGAGACGCGAAAGCGGGGGAGCAAACAGGAUUAGAUACCCUGGUAGUCCACGCUGUAAACGAUGUGCACUAGGUGUAGGAAGUGUUGACCCUUUCUGUGCCGAAGCUAACGCAUUAAGUGCACCGCCUGGGGAGUACGGUCGCAAGGCUAAACUCAAAGGAAUUGACGGGGGCCCGCACAAGCGGUGGAGCAUGUGGUUUAAUUCGACGCUACGCGAAAAACCUUACCUGGGCUUGACAUGCUGGGAUUAAUCCUGGGAAACCAGGAGGAUUGCCGGGUGUAACCAGCACAGGUGCUGCAUGGCUGUCGUCAGCUCGUGUCGUGAGAUGUUGGGUUAAGUCCCGCAACGAGCGCAACCCUCGCUUUUAGUUGCCAGCAUUUAGUUGGGCACUCUAAAGGAACUGCCCCGGUUAACGGGGAGGAAGGUGGGGAUGACGUCAAGUCCUCAUGGCCUUUAUGCCCAGGGCUACACACGUGCUACAAUGGUCUGUACA
rnacentral:rRNA from 1 species